CAACUCUCAACAACGGAUAUCUUGGCUCCCGUAACGAUGAAGAACGCAGCGAAAUGCGAUACGUAGUGUGAAUUGCAGAAUUCCGUGAACCAUCGAAUCUUUGAACGCAAAUUGCGCUCGAGGCUUCGGCCAAGAGCAUGUCUGCCUCAGCGUCGGCUACUACCCUCAA
rnacentral:rRNA from 1 species